rnacentral:rRNA from 1 species
AUUGAACGCUGGCGGCAGGCCUAACACAUGCAAGUCGAGCGGCAGCGGGAAAGUAGCUUGCUACUUUUGCCGGCGAGCGGCGGACGGGUGAGUAAUGCCUGGGAAAUUGCCCAGUCGAGGGGGAUAACAGUUGGAAACGACUGCUAAUACCGCAUACGCCCUACGGGGGAAAGCAGGGGACCUUCGGGCCUUGCGCGAUUGGAUAUGCCCAGGUGGGAUUAGCUAGUUGGUGAGGUAAUGGCUCACCAAGGCGACGAUCCCGAGCUGGUCUGAGGGGAUGAUCAGCCAAACUGGAACUGAGACACGGUCCAGACUACUACGGGAGGCAGCAGUGGGGAAUAUUGCACAAUGGGGGAAACCCUGAUGCAGCCAUGCCGCGUGUGUGAAGAAGGCCUUCGGGUUGUAAAGCACUUUCAGCGAGGAGGAAAGGUUGAUGCCUAAUACGUAUCAACUGUGACGUUACUCGCAGAAGAAGCACCGGCUAACUCCGUGCCAGCCGCCGCAGUAACAC